rnacentral:rRNA from 1 species
GGGUGUAAAGUGUGUGCAGACGGUUUAUUAAGUUGCUUGUUUAAUUCUUCGGCCUAACCGAAGGCUCGCAAGCAAAACUGGUAGACUUGAGGAUGGAAGAGAGAAGUGGAAUUCUCGGAGUAGCGGUAAAAUGCGUAGAUCUCGAGAGGAACACCAAUGGCGAAGGCAGCUUCUUGGUCCAUUCCUGACGUUCAUACACGAAAGCGUGGGGAGCAAACAGGAUUAGAUACCCUGGUAGUCCACGCCGUAAACGAUGAUCACUAGACGUCAGUUUCGUUUAACGAAAUUGGUGUCGUAGCUAACGCGUUAAGUGAUCCGCCUGGGGACUACGGUCGCAAGACUAAAACU